GCUGGAAUCUAGCAUAUCAAUAAGCGGAGGAAAAGAAACUACCAAGGAUUCCCCUAGUAACUGCGAGUGAAGCGGGAAAAGCUCAAAUUUAAAAUCUGGUGGCCUUUGGUCAUCCGAGUUGUAAUUUAGAGAAGCGUCUUCCGCGCUGGACCGUGCACAAGUCUCCUGGAAUGGAGCGUCAUAGAGGGUGAGAAUCCCGUCUUUGGCAYGGACCCCAGUGCUUUUGUGAUGYGCUCUCGAAGAGUCGAGUUGUUUGGGAAUGCAGCUCAAAAUGGGUGGUGAACUCCAUCUAAAGCUAAAUAUUGGCGAGAGACCGAUAGCGAACAAGUACCGUGAGGGAAAGAUGAAAAGCACUUUGGAAAGAGAGUGAAACAGUACGUGAAAUUGUUGAAAGGGAAACGCUUGAAGUCAGUCGCGUUGUCCGAGACUCAGCCUUGCCUUGGCUUGGUGUAUUUCUYGGCCGACGGGUCAGCAUCAAUUUUGCCCCUUGGAUAAUGGCGAAGGAAAUGUGACACCUUUACGGGUGUGUUAUAGUCCCCCGUCGCAUGCAAGGGUCGGGAUUGAGGAACUCAGCACGCGCUUCGGCGUCGGGGCUUUGCCCACGAUACGUGCUUAGGAUGUUGGCGUAAUGGCUUUAAACGACCCGUCUUGAAACACGGACCAAGGAGUCUAACAUGCCCGCGAGUGUUCGGGUGGAAAACCCGUGCGCGCAAUGAAAGUGAAAGUUGGGACCUCUGUCGUGGAGGGCACCGACGCCCGGACCAGACCUUCUGUGACGGAUCUGCGGUGGAGCGUGYAUGUUAGGACCCGAAAGAUGGUGAACUAUGCCUGAAUAGGGUGAAGCCAGAGGAAACUCUGGUGGAGGCUCGUAGCGAUUCUGACGUGCAAAUCGAUCGUCAAAUUUGGGUAUAGGGGCGAAAGACUAAUCGAACCAUCUAGUAGCUGGUUCCUGCGAUUUUC
rnacentral:rRNA from 1 species